AGAGUUUGAUCCUGGCUCAGGACGAACGCUGGCGGCGUGCUUAACACAUGCAAGUCACGGGGGCCCGCAAGGGCAACCGGCGAACGGGUGCGUAACACGUGAGCAACCUACCGUCUUCUGGGGGAUAGCCGGCCCAACGGCCGGGUAAUACCGCAUACGAUUCUCGCGGGGAGUCCCGUGGGAAGGAAACCUCCGGGGGA
rnacentral:rRNA from 1 species